rnacentral:lncRNA from 1 species
UAUAAUAGCUCACAUUAAUUCUACAUUCUAAUCUUUAAAUAUCAAGAUAGCUCCAGGACUAAUCUUUGGAAAUGACAAAUAAAGGGAUAUCGAAUGGCCCACUGAAGAGUAAGUGCAAAUUGAAGAUACGUUUCAGUCACCACUCUAAGCAGUAAGUGACCUUUCCAUCCAAAAGGGUUAAACUUAAAUCCCCCUUCCCAUUGUCAUAGUUUGAAAAACACGUAUCUCUAGAGGAAACACAGAAGACAAAAAUAACUCAGGCAGCAAAUAGCUCUCCUAUUCUGCCUCUUUUCUGCAAUCUUCUUUAUAAUA